CCUACGGGCGGCAGCAGUGGGGAAUAUUGGGCAAUGGGCGCAAGCCUGACCCAGCAACGCCGCGUGAAGGAAGAAGGCUUUCGGGUUGUAAACUUCUUUUCUCAGGGACGAAGAAAGUGACGGUACCUGAGGAAUAAGCCACGGCUAACUACGUGCCAGCAGCCGCGGUAAUACGUAGGUGGCAAGCGUUAUCCGGAUUUACUGGGUGUAAAGGGCGUGUAGGCGGGGAAGCAAGUCAGAUGUGAAAACCACGGGCUCAACCUGUGGCCUGCAUUUGAAACUGUUUUUCUUGAGUACUGGAGAGGCAGACGGAAUGCCUAGUGUAGCGGUGAAAUGCGUAGAGAUUAGGAGGAACACCAGUGGCGAAGGCGGUCUGCUGGACAGCAACUGACGCUGAGGCGCGAAAGCGUGGGGAGCAAACAGGAUUAGAUACCCCUGUAGUC
rnacentral:rRNA from 1 species